UACGUAGGGCGCGAGCGUUGUCCGGAAUUAUUGGGCGUAAAGAGCUCGUAGGCGGCCUGUCGCGUCCGCUGUGAAAUCCCGGGGCUUAACCCCGGGCCUGCAGUGGAUACGGGCAGGCUGGAGGCAGGCAGGGAGGAACGGAAUUCCCGGAUCGUGAGCGGUGGAAAUGACGCAGAUAUCAGGAGGAACACCAAUGGCGAAGGCAGGCUCGUGGGACGGUACUGACGCUGAGACGACGAAGCGUGGGGAGCAAACAGG
rnacentral:rRNA from 1 species